rnacentral:rRNA from 1 species
UACGGAGGGUGCCAGCGUUAUCCGGAUUCACUGGGUUUAAAGGGUGCGUAGGCGGGCAGGUAAGUCCGUGGUGAAAUCUCUGAGCUUAACUCAGAAACUGCCAUGGAUACUAUUUGUCUUGAAUAUUGUGGAGGUAAGCGGAAUAUGUCAUGUAGCGGUGAAAUGCUUAGAUAUGACAUAGAACACCAAUUGCGAAGGCAGCUUACUACACAGUUAUUGACGCUGAGGCACGAAAGCGUGGGGAUCAAACAGG